UACGGGGGGAGCAAGCGUUGUUCGGAUUUACUGGGCGUAAAGGGCGCGUAGGCGGCCAGUGCAAGUCAGUUGUGAAAUCUCCGAGCUUAACUCGGAAAGGUCAACUGAUACUGCUCGGCUAGAGUGCGGAAGGGGCAACUGGAAUUCUUGGUGUAGCGGUGAAAUGCGUAGAUAUACGGAGGAACACCAGCGGCGAAGGCGGGUAGCUGGGCCAACACUGACGCUGAUGCGCGAAAGCUAGGGGAGCAAACGGG
rnacentral:rRNA from 1 species